GGGGAUGUAGCUCUGUUGGCAGAGUGCUUGGCUAGCAAGCAUGAAGUCCUGGGUUCAGUUCCCAGCACCA
rnacentral:tRNA from 1 species